UCUGAAUGUUAACGUGAAGAAAUUCAAAUAAGCGCGGGUAAACGGCGGGAGUAACUAUGACUCUCUUCUGGUAGCCAAAUGCCUCGUCAUCUAAUUAGUGACGCGCAUGAAUGGAUUAACGAGAUUCCCACUGUCCCUGUCUACUAUCUAGCGAAACCACAGCCAAGGGAACGGGCUUGGACUUCAAUGCGGGGAAAGAAGACCCUGUUGAGCUUGACUCUAAUCUGUCUUCGUAAAGAGACUUGAAAAGUGUAGCGUAGAUGGGAGUGGCAACACGUCAAUGAAACACCAUUAUUUUCAUUGUUUCUUUACUUACUUGGUUAUACAGAGAUUGGAUUUUACAUCCAGUGUUUGAGUGACAAACGUCGAUACUUGUAUCNUAGCAACUUUCGUUGUGUUAAAAAUAUGACUUGCAUAAGUAACAAAUUCGACUUGGCGUUAUAGGUGAACUGACAUGUUCUUUGAUUUCAGUACUCUCGAGUACGGCACGCCAUGA
rnacentral:rRNA from 1 species